ACUCUCUACAGAUUAUGGAAAAUAUUUGUCUGAGCUCUUAUUUCAACUGCUCCAUUCUCAGCUAGUGAGGAGAGUAAGAUGUAGUGAGGCAUGUGUUCAGAACUUUCUCCCAGAGGUAAAUUACUGAUGCAUGACUUUUAAGGUGCUAGGAGAGGGCUGAUAGUCCACUACGUUAUCAAGUUCAAAGCCUAAGAAAUAUUGAACAUUUCCACACAUGAAUGUGGGUACUAUGUUUAAUUUGAGAAUGGCCAACUGUCCUCGAAGUCUCAAUCUCUUUGGAGCCUACCAGCUCCGAGAGAAGUUUGAGGAUGCUGCAAAACCCUCCCCUGCAAAUCCAUCUACUCCUCCCACUUCUAUCCUAAUGGGUAUAGUUCUUGGCUGUGCUGAGGAUCUGUAAGGCACCAGAUGUGAAAGUAAGGAAGAAAGAUGGAUGUGGAAGAAAGUCACUGCCCAGAGAAUAAGGAGACCUGGAUUCUAAUCUCAGCUCUGCCAUUAACUAGCUGUGAGACUCAAGAAUAACUAAUCAUUUUGAUAACUCGUUUUUUUACUUUUUAAAAUGAGGAGCCAAGUUUAGACAAUGAGCUCGGCUCUUCACCAGUGAUAAAGUGUCUGGGACAUGCUUCCAUUCAAGCAAUGCUCUUCCUUCUUGUCUAUACUUUAUCCAAGAAAGAAUAAAUCAUUUCCAAAUAUUUUCAAAGAUGAAACUAUGGCUCAAAAGGGAAUAAGAGAUCAAGGCAAGCAUGGACAUCUUGUACGUGGAAGUGCAGACCAGAACUUGUAUCACAGCCAGUCAUAUCUGGUGCUUUCCAUGCUACUUUUACAUACAUGUAUCCUUAAAUUUGAUCCUCUUCUAGUUUAGUCUAAACUCUUUACUUUGUAACUUCCAAACCUAAAAGGUGCAGCAGACAUUGACAAUCUUAA
ensembl:lncRNA novel transcript